UGAGGAAUAUUGGACAAUGGGUGAAAACCUGAUCCAGCCAUGCCGCGUGCAGGAAGACGGCCCUAUGGGUUGUAAACUGCUUUUGUAUGGGAGCAAUAAGCUCUACGCGUAGAGUGAUGAGAGUACCAUACGAAUAAGCACCGGCUAACUACGUGCCAGCAGCCGCGGUAAUACGUAGGGUGCAAGCGUUGUCCGGAUUUACUGGGUGUAAAGGGCGCGUAGGCAGGACUGCAAGUCAGGUGUGAAAUCUGGGGGCUCAACCCCCAAACUGCACUUGAAACUGUGGUUCUUGAGUGAUGGAGAGGCAAGUGGAAUUCCUAGUGUAGCAGUGAAAUGCGUAGAUAUUUGGAGGAACACCGGUGGCGAAGGCGGAUUUCUGGGCCUUUAUUGACGCUAAAGUGCGAAAGCUAGGGGAGCAAACG
rnacentral:rRNA from 1 species